UCUGGUGUCAGCCGCCGCGGUAAUACCAGCUCUCCGAGUGGUAGGGAUGAUUAUUGGGCUUAAAGCGUCCGUAGCCGGCUUAGCAAGUCUCCUGUUAAAUUCAGCGACCUAAUCGUUGAGCCGCGGGAGAUACUACUAGGCUAGGAGGCGGGAGAGGCCGACGGUAUUCUCGGGGUAGGGGUGAAAUCCUAUAAUCCCGGGAGGACCACCAGUGGCGAAGGCUGUCGGCUAGAACGCGCUCGACGGUGAGGGACGAAAGCUGGGGGAGCGAACCGGAUUAGAUACCCGGGUAGNCCCAGCUGUAAACGAUGCGGGCUAGGUGUUGGGGUGGCUACGAGCCACUUCAGUGCCGCAGGGAAGCCAUUAA
rnacentral:rRNA from 1 species